rnacentral:rRNA from 1 species
GACGAACGCUGGCGGCGUGCUUAACACAUGCAAGUCGAACGGUUAGGCCCUGCUUUUGUGGGGUGCUCGAGUGGCGAACGGGUGAGUAACACGUGAGUAACCUGCCCUUGACUUUGGGAUAACUUCAGGAAACUGGGGCUAAUACCGGAUAGGAGCUCCUGCUGCAUGGUGGGGGUUGGAAAGUUUCGGCGGUUGGGGAUGGACUCGCGGCUUAUCAGCUUGUUGGUGGGGUAGUGGCUUACCAAGGCUUUGACGGGUAGCCGGCCUGAGAGGGUGACCGACCACAUUGGGACUGAGAUACGGCCCAGACUCCUACGGGAGGCAGCAGUGGGGAAUAUUGCACAAUGGGCGGAAGCCUGAUGCAGCAACGCCGCGUGCGGGAUGACGGCCUUCGGGUUGUAAACCGCUUUCGCCUGUGACGAAGCGUGAGUGACGGUAAUGGGUAAAGAAGCACCGGCUAACUACGUGCCAGCAGCCGCGGUGAUACGUAGGGUGCGAGCGUUGUCCGGAUUUAUUGGGCGUAAAGGGCUCGUAGGUGGUUGAUCGCGUCGGAAGUGUAAUCUUGGGGCUUAACCCUGAGCGUGCUUUCGAUACGGGUUGACUUGAGGAAGGUAGGGGAGGAUGGAAUUCCUGGUGGAGCGGUGGAAUGCGCAGAUAUCAAGAGGAACACCAGUGGCGAAGGCGGUUCUCUGGGCCUUUCCUGACGCUGAGGAGCGAAAGCGUGGGGAGCGAACAGGCUUAGAUACCCUGGUAGUCCACGCUGUAAACGGUGGGUACUAGGUGUGGGGUCCAUUCCACGGGUUCCGUGCCGUAGCUAACGCUUUAAGUACCCCGCCUGGGGAGUACGGCCGC